CUGUUAACUGCCCAAGGUUGCCCUGCUGAUGUCAUGCCUGACCAUAUGACUUGCUCCAGCCAAUGAAAUGUAAGCAGAAGUGACAUAUGCAGCAUGACCAGUGGAAGCUUCGAAGAGCUAUUGCCAAUUUCCACCCUCUCUCUGGAAACUGUCAUUAGGGUUAGGGAAACUGUCAUGAGAUCUGCAUAUUUUAGAUAGAGGCUGCUUGCCUUAUUUGGGCACCUAAUGAAAAAGACAUGGAGGCCAGGUGCGGUGGCUCAUGUCUGUAAUCCCAGCACUUUGGGAGGCCAAGGCGAGUGGAUCACCUGAGGUCAGGAGUUCGAGACCAGCCUGACCAACAUGGCAAAACCCCGUCUGUACUAAAAGUGCAAACACAAAGGGAACUGCGUGGCUUGUUUCUACCUGAACAUUGUCAAGUGAUUUCAUCCUUUGAAACACAGUUGUGAAGUGUGUCCAGCAGUCUGAGAACAAGAAGAAGAAGAAAAUCUAAUCCUUCAGGGUGUCUGUGUGCCAGCCCUGCUCUCAGCACUUCCCAUGUGGAACUCCUUUACUUCUCCUAACAACUCCAUGACAUGGGUUAGACUGUGAUUGUUCCCAUAUUGUUGGUAGGGAAACUGAGGCAUGCAGGUGUUACAGAGCUCUCUCAAGUGGCAAGCUUUCUGGGUGGUUACAGAGUGGCAGAGCUGGGGUAUCCCAUGAUGUCACCACACUGCUAUAUGGAAAAGAACAUUAAUCGAGCACCUACGUGCUUGAUUCUCUUAAUUCUGUGACUGAACUCUCAAAACACCCUGGAGCACUGCGUGUUUUGAAAUAUACAAAUAGUGGGAAACGAAAUCUUUGUUCUGGAUGCAGUUAUAAUUUGGAAAGCGAGGAAAUAAAUUAUAACAAGGGGAAAAAACAGACACAGAGGGAUUGAAAUGCAUAACAAUAGAGAUGAAACACGAAGAGUGAUAAAUGAAGAUUGAGUGUGCACACCUUCUGGAGGAGCCCUGAUUGAGUAUUUUAACACAGAAGUGGGUGAGAGCAAAGUUGUGUCAGAGUAAGACAAUGACACCAAGCCAGAUGGUUAUCAAAAUCCACAGGAACAAAUGAAGAGAACCAGAAAUUGCAAAUAAGAAGGACAGAGUACCAGAGAGGAGAGAGAGGUACAGAGAAUUAUGGAGGUGGCUUCCGUUGAGUAUGCAGCUAAGUAAUGAUUAAUGCAUACAUAUAAGAAACUACUGGAUGACAGAGAAAGAACCACAAGCAAUUUAAAGGUAACAGCACCCAACACUCACACAUGACUGGAAAAUGUGCCUUUUCCCACAUGCCAGACUGGAAAAUUGUGUGUUCCACAGGGCAUUCAAUAGAGUACACAGAAGGAUUUUUGCUUCGUUAGUAGGAAACAAUUAGCCCUAGCCUAAAUACUGCUCUGGUUCAACCUAUCAAAUUUUUUUUUUUUUUGAAACAGAGUUUUGCUCUUGUUUCCCAGCUGGAGUGCAAUGACAUGAUCUCGGCCCACUGCAAACUCUGCCUCCUGGGUUCAAGCAAUUCUCCUGCCUCAGCUUCCUGAAUAGCUUGGAUUACAGGUGCCUGCCACCAUGCCAGGCUAAUUUUUGUAUUUUUAGUAGAGAUGGGGUUUUCCCAUGCUGGCCAGGCUGGUCUCCAACUCCCAACCUCAGGAGAUCUGCCCGCCUCGGCCUCCCAAAGUGCUGGGAUUAUAGGUGUGAGCCACUGCGCCUGGCAACCUAUCAAAUCUUAAAAGCAAGACCUGAAAGGAUCAACUUAUUUCCAAGUAUUAAUAAUUUAACUGAGUUCUAGAACAAAACUCAAAAAUAUUUAUCAGAAUACAAAAAUAUCCAGGCCCCAACAAGAUAACGUUUAAAGUAUAUCAGCCAAUAAAAAAUUACAAUGCAUGCAAAGAAUCAAAAAGAUCUGCUCCAGAGUAUGGAGAUAAAUGGGUCAAUCACAACCAAUCCAGAAACUGACACAGAUGUUAAAAUUAGCUGACAAAGACAUUACAGAUGCUGUUUGACUUGUGAUGGGAUUAUAUCCUGAUAAACCCUUGUAAAUUGAAAUUAUCAUAAGUUGAAAAUGCAUUUACUACAUCUAACCUACCAAACAUCACAGCUUAGCCUAGCCUAUCUUAAACAUGCUCAGAAAACUUACAUUAGCCUACAGUUGAGCAAAAUCAUCUAACACAAAGCCAAUUUUAUAAUAAAGUGUUGACUUUGGCUUCUAAAUACCAUUCUCCACUAAAAGGAAUCAAGGUUCUUUGGAGAAAUGACUGAUUCUAGUGUUUGGACUAAAAAGUACAAGAUGAAUCUAAAAGAUAUUUUUGUGCCAGAAAGCAAGGAAGCUCUCAAAGACUAUGGAGUCAUAUCAAAAGGACCCAGAAGCUAACUUGUAGAUAACUCAAAUAGCCAGUUGGAGACAAUUUGACCAUCAAAAUAAUUAAUAUAAGGGAUUAUAAUCCUUGUGGUAGGCAGAAUAAUGGCCUACAAAGUUGUCUAUGCCUGCAUCAGUGGAAUCUAUGAACAUGGAAUCUUGCAUGGGAAAAGGGAAUUUGCAGAUUUGAUUAGAGACCCCAAAAUAGAAAGAUUAUCUUGGAUUAUGUAAUAGCUAAAAUUGAGUGUCAACUUGAUUGGAUUGAAGGAUGCAAAGUAUUGUUCCUGGGUGUAUCUGUAAAGGUGUUGCCAAAGGAGGUUAACAUUUAAGUCAGUGGACUGGGAGAGGCAGACCUACCCUCAAUAUGGAUGGGCACGAUCUAAGCAGAUGCCCCCAUGGCUAGGAUAAAGCAGGCAGAAGAGCCUGGAAGGACUAGACUGGCUGGGUCUUCCAGCCUUCCUGUUUCUCCCUUGCUGGAUGCUUCCUGCCCUCGAACAUUAGACUCCAAGUUCUUCAGCUUUUGGACUCUUGGGCUUACACCAGUGGUUUGCCAGGGCCUCUCAGGCCUUCUGCCACAGACUGAAGGCUGCACUGUUGGCUUCCCUACUUUUGAGGUUUUGAGACUCAAACUGACUUCCUUGCUUGCUACUCAGCUUGCAGACAGCCUAUUGUGGGACUUCAACUUGGCAUUGUGUGAGUCAAUACUCCUAAUAAACUCCCUUUUAUAUAUACAUCUAUCCUUUUAGUCCUGUUCCUCCAGAGAACACUGACUAAUACAGAUUAUCUAGACAGGCCCAGUGUAAUCACAUGAGUCCUUAAAAAUAGAAAUCCUUCCUGACUACAGAGAACCAGAGAGAUGGAAGCAUGAGAAGGACUCAACCUGUGUUGUUGGCUUCCAAAUGGAGGAAGGGAUCCAGGAGACAAGGAAUGUGAGUGGCCUCUAGAAGACAGAAAAGGCAAUAAAAUGGAUUCACCCUUAGAGCCUCCAGGAAGCAAUGCCACCCUGUCAACACCUUGAUUUUUAGCCCAGUGAGUCCUGUGUCAGACUCCUGACAUAAAGAACUGUUAGAUAAUGCAUUUAUGUUGUUUUAAGCCACUAAAAUGUGAUUUGUCUCAGCAGCAAUAGAAAACUACCGUAAUCCCUUUGAAUAAAAUAGGAAGGUGUACGUCCAUAAAGAUAGAAAUAAAUGAAUAAAUUGAAAGUUUGAUGAGGAACAGGAUAUCUAUUUCAAAAUAACUCUGCACAAAACACUUAUUAAUUACAAAGGGUUAAAGAGCAAUUUGGAAGUUAUUCCUAGUUCUCUGCUAGGAGGAGCCUAGUGGAUACCACCCUAAUCAAGUGAUCUAACUGAAUAUCAACAGCAGUGAGACAGAUGUAAAUUAUGCCUCAGCCAAUAGUAUCAGUGAGAAGAAUACAACACUUCUGUGGUAUUUCUACCCAAGAUACAUAACUUAAGGAAACAUCAGAGACAUUGUAAGAAACUCAGAUUGAGGGACAUUCUAUGUAAUAACUGGUCAGCUAUCAUCAAAGUUGCCAAGGUCAUUUAAGUUAAGGGAAGACAAAGGAACUUUUCCAAGCUAAAGAACACCAAAAAGACUUGACAAUUAAAUGCAAUGUGUGGUUUUGAACUGGAUUACUUUGUUGGAAUCACUGGCAAAACUUGAAUGGGUUCUGAGGAUUAGACUGCAGUUAGUAUCAAUGUUAAUUUCCUGAUUUUAAUGGUUAUAUUUUGGUUAUGUAGAAAAAUUUUUGAAAAGUCAUACUAACAAAAGAUAAAUAAUUAUGGUAGCUUGUCUCCAAGAUGGCUGACCAGCAUAAAUUUCUUCUCCCUAUAUCCACACAAGCCAGGGUUGCAGUUUAUUCCUUUGUUCCCUUGAAUGUGGCCUGAUUUGUGACUGCUUUGGUCAACAGAAUACUACUAAAGUCAUGCCGUGUGACUUCUGAAGCUAGCUCCUAAGAAGUCCUUGCAGCUUCUGCCUGCGACUCUUAGAACACUUGCUUUGAAGGAUGCCAGAUGCUGUCUUAAAAGUCUGAGCACUCUGAAACCAUCAUGCUGUGAGGAAGCCCAAGCUAACCACAUGGGCAAAAAAGAUGCCCUCUGACUGCCACCAUUUGAGACACUCUAAUUAAGAACUGCCUCAUUGAGCCCAUGAGGCCCUGUGAAUGAUAAUAAUAAAUUGUUUUUAACCACUAUGUUUUUGGAUUUGUUAUAAGUUUAUAGAUAACAAGAAAAAGUUAUAUUAGCAUGGUAAUAAAAUUAUGGAUAUGUGUAAGUUUGGUGUUUUGUUUCUUUUUUUUUUUUACACUAAGCCUAUAUUACUGUUGUAAUUUAGGAAAUCACUUGUUUUCCUCCAGCACUUCAAUGUAAGAGUGGCACUACUUAGAAUGUACUUCUUAAGAUAUGGCUGUACAUAGAACAAAUUAUUCACCAUGAUUUCCUUAGCAUCCAACAGAAUACCUGAGUGUAGUAGAUGCUUAGUAAAUAGUUGUUGAAUAAUUGACAUAUGGGAGAGUGCUGGAUAAACUCUUUGAGAAUGACAUUAUCUACUUCGAUUUAUGUGAGUCUGGCAUCAUAUUUUUUUUGCUGUCUUUAAAGAAACCAAGAAGAAAGGCUGUGUGUUGAAGUUAUGAUUUAUUGCUUUUCUCCCCUAUACAUUUAUUUCUUCACAUGAUCAUCUCCUCUGCUUUCUUCUGUGACUAACUUGCUCUAUCUGUGUGAACAUUUUGCCACUAUUCUGCUCCCUUUAUACCUGCCUAGGCAAAGAUUGCACAAAAAAUAAAAUGAUAAACAAAGCUCUGUUGCAAAUAAAACUUAGAUGACACGCCAACAUCUCACAUCAGUCAAUAUGUGAAAAGAAUAAUAUCCAUGGACAAGUAGGGCUAAUUUCAAGAAUACAAG
rnacentral:lncRNA from 1 species